GUCUGGCGCGACAGCUCGAUGUGCAGCCCGUCCGAUCGAGGACGUCAGGGCGCAUUGCCAGUAAACGCCCUGAAUCAGAAUCUUGGGAGAGUGUUGAACGGAUCGGCGUGCCCGGCGGCCUGGGCGGCAGUCGUCACGGAAUUAGGCUGGUCU
rnacentral:misc_RNA from 1 species